GUCUAUGGAAUUUGACUUCUAUCGUUAUUGGGGACAUUAGGGACGGAUAUCACGUGAGUAUAUUCAUCUUCUUGGUGGGCAAAGCAUGGAUAAACUGCCCCCCAACUUGCUAUGGUUGGCACAAUGGAUUUUGGAUUUGACUUGGACAUUGUUUAGCUGCAAAUGCAACUUCAUCACAUUCGAGAUGGCCCAUGCUUUGUGAAAGAUUUAGAUCCUACAAGCGAAUGGUUGGUUGAGCAAGAUGCUGGGGAUGGGCUUGUAUUCGAGAGAGAGAGCUUGACAUAGACCCAAGUGCAAGAGGCAGUUGGUCUGGCAUCGAACCCCAUGAGAAUUAGAUUCCAUACUCAGAGAAAGGAGAAGGAUAUGGGAAAGGAGAAGGGAAGGGGGGGUAGGAGAAGGAGAAUGUGCAUAUGAAGAGGGGGACGAUAAUGCAGGAGGAGGACAAUGUAGAGAGGAGACAAGGGAAGAAUGUUUUUAUGUGGAGGAGGAAGAUGACUCUGAUGAAGAUGGCUUGACAUUAUCAUCAGAUUCAGGUGCACCUGAUGCUGGCCCUGGAUGUCGACUUGUUGUUGCUAGUGAUGAUGAAACUCAACCUCAUAUUUGAGUUCAUCAUAUUUGUAGUGUGAAGAAGACUAAUUUUUGUACUUUAUAUCCUUUGAUUGUCG